CCUACGGGAGGCAGCAGUGGGGAAUAUUGCACAAUGGGGGGAACCCUGAUGCAGCGACGCCGCGUGGGUGAAGAAGCGCCUCGGCGUGUAAAGCCCUUUCAGCAGGGAAGAAAAUGACGGUACCUGAAGAAGAAGCCCCGGCAAACUACGUACCAGCAGCCGCGGUAAUACGUAGGGGGCAAGCGUUAUCCGGAUUUACUGGGUGUAAAGGGGGCGAAGGCGGUAGAUCAAGUCAGCGGUAAAAUUGAGAGGCUCAACCUCUUCGAGCCGUUGAAACUGGUUUGCUUGAGUGAGGGAGAGGGAUGCGGAAUGCGUGGUGUAGCGGUGAAAUGCGUAGAUAUCAGGAAGAACACCGGUGGCGAAGGCGGCAUACCGGAGCUCAACUGACGCUCAGGCACGAAAGUGUGGGUAGCGAACAGGAUUAGAUACCCUAGUAGUC
rnacentral:rRNA from 1 species